rnacentral:tmRNA from 1 species
GGGGGCGACAGGCUUCGACGGGAGUAGUUGAGUCAGUAGGUGCAUGCCGAGGUGCCUCACCCUCGUAAAACAGUGGCAAAAUCAUAACUGCCAACGAACAGUUAGCACUCGCUGCGUAAUUUGACGUAGCCGUCUUGACUAGUCUCGCCCGCAGGGCGGUCAAGGCGUCGUUAAUGCGGGAUAUGCGGUGUUCCAACCUCCUUCACGGGAACACCGGGAAUCGUUGUGAGGGGCUUGCGGCGGGUUAGUUUGCUGGUUUCAAAUGCCCGGCGGAAGUAAAAAGCGAAACCGGCUAAGCGUGUAGAUCCGGCUGGCGAAGACUUUCGGACGUGGGUUCGAUUCCCACCGCCUCCACCA